CCUGAUGCAGCAACGCCGCGUGAGGGACGAAGGCCUUCGGGUUGUAAACCUCUUUUAGUAGGGAAGAAGCGAAAGUGACGGUACCUGCAGAAAAAGCACCGGCUAACUACGUGCCAGCAGCCGCGGUAAUACGUAGGGUGCAAGCGUUGUCCGGAAUUAUUGGGCGUAAAGAGCUCGUAGGCGGUUUGUCGCGUCUGCUGUGAAAACUGGAGGCUCAACCUCCAGCCUGCAGUGGGUACGGGCAGACUAGAGUGCGGUAGGGGAGAUUGGAAUUCCUGGUGUAGCGGUGGAAUGCGCAGAUAUCAGGAGGAACACCGAUGGCGAAGGCAGAUCUCUGGGCCGUAACUGACGCUGAGGAGCGAAAGCAUGGGGAGCGAACAGGAUUAGAUACCCUGGUAGUCCAUGCCGUAAACGUUGGGAACUAGAUGUAGGGGCCAUUCCACGGUUUCUGUGUCGCAGCUAACGCAUUAAGUUCCCCGCCUGGGGAGUACGGCCGCAAGGCUAAAACUCAAAGGAAUUGACGGGGGCCCGCACAAGCGGCGGAGCAUGCGGAUUAAUUCGAUGCAACGCGAAGAACCUUACCAAGGCUUGACAUAUACCGGAAACGGCUAGAGAUAGUCGCCCCGCAAGGUCGGUAUAC
rnacentral:rRNA from 2 species